UGGAUGAUCCACCUGCCUUGGCCUCCAAAGUGCUGGGAUUACAGGCGUGAGCCACCAUGGCCAGCCAUCUGUGACUAUUUAAGACCUUAUAUGAAAGGACUAGUGGGAAAUUAGAAAAUAUGGCUAGAGGAAAAAAAAGGUAUCAACCUGAUAAAAAAGAAACUCAGAGCUGGCCAAAUAUCCUGAAUGACGUCAUAACACAUUUUUUUUUUCCAAGAAAUGAGACAGUUCCUCAGCUGUUCCCAUCUCCACUAUCAGUACUGUUUGUAUUAUUUUUUGGUUGAAGGUACUUCAUCUACAGUCUACAUGAAAAAAAGGAGCAGUAAAGGAUGUUUUGUACAGAAAGAUAAUUCCUGUUACAGCAGGCUCCUUUUAAAGAUAAACAUGUUUGCUCUCAAGUUUAAACACCAUUAAAACUGCAUGUCAGUUCUAGACCUAUCUAAAAGUAAAAGGAUUGAUAUUGCUUCUUUAAUUUGAAAACUGUCAGGUCUUAAAACAUACAGUAUCUCAGAACUUAUAAACUUUCUAAUUAACAUAGUAUUCAUUUUGUAUAAGAGGUUUACUGGCUUAGAUGUAAAGACUGUAGUCCAUUAGACAAAAGGGUUUUCCUAAAAAUUAUUGAAUUGAACAGCAGACAUUUGGUUUAAGACUGCAAAAUUAGGCAUUUCCCAAACUGUUUUCUGCACUUAGAAAUCAUAGCAAUAUUGUCAAGGAAAAUCAGAGUAGAAACCUACAUCUUUUAAGAAAUUCAGAGAUAUCUAAAACCUGGAAUCACAACACAUGAAGAAAUAAAACAAGAUGGAGAAGGGGUAACUGACCUAGCAGAGUAAGAAAGCUGAACUCAAGUAAGCGGCCACUCUGGUGAAUUUGCACAGAGAAUUCUGGAAAGAUGUGAAAAUUAUCAUCUACCAAUAUAAAAUUAUCCAAUCAGCUAUUUUAGUGCCUUAUUCCUAACUACAUAAUAAGAAGUAUCACAAGGUAUUUGAGGAAACCUCCCUACAUAACGAGACUGAAAGCAAAGCAAACCAACAAGGGAAAUCUUGGAGAAAUUGUCAACAUGACACAAACACUAAGUACGGUGAAUAAAGUAGAGAAGAAGAUUUCUUGGAAAUUUAAAAUGUAAUUGCUGGAAUU